CGGCCCAGACUCCUACGGGAGGCAGCAGUGGGGAAUAUUGCGCAAUGGGGGAAACCCUGACGCAGCAACGCCGCGUGAGUGAGGAAGGCUUUAGGGUCGUAAAGCUCUGUCAGAAGGGAAGAAACUACAGUGGUCUAAUAGGCCAUUGUACUGACGGUACCUUCAAAGGAAGCACCGGCUAACUUCGUGCCAGCAGCCGCGGUAAUACGAAGGGUGCAAGCGUUAUUCGGAUUUACUGGGCGUAAAGCGCGCGCAGGCGGAUUAGUAAGUCAGAUGUGAAAUCUCGGGGCUCAACCCCGAAACUGCGUCUGAAACUACUAAUCUAGAGUUAUGGAGGGGGAAGUGGAAUUUCGCAUGUAGGGGUAAAAUCCGUAGAGAUGCGAAGGAACACCAGAGGCGAAGGCGACUUCCUGGCCAUUAACUGACGCUGAGGCGCGAAAGCGUGGGGAGCAAACAGGAUUAGAUACCCUGG
rnacentral:rRNA from 1 species